rnacentral:rRNA from 1 species
GACGUAGGGCGCGAGCGUUGUCCGGAUUUAUUGGGCGUAAAGAGCUCGUAGGCGGCUUGUCGCGUCGACCGUGAAAACUUGGGGCUCAACCUCAAGCCUGCGGUCGAUACGGGCAGGCUAGAGUUCGGUAGGGGAGACUGGAAUUCCUGGUGUAGCGGUGAAAUGCGCAGAUAUCAGGAGGAACACCGAUGGCGAAGGCAGGUCUCUGGGCCGCAACUGACGCUGAGGAGCGAAAGCAUGGGGAGCGAACAGG